rnacentral:lncRNA from 1 species
UUUUAGCCAUUAAAUGUAAAUGGUAAUGCUAGUUUGGAUUUCUUAAAUUUAAUUAAUCUUUGACGUCUCUGUCUGAAUUUACAGGCAAUCUGGCAUUUAAGUUUACUUGGCCAAAUGUGAUGACGUGGGAAACUGCUGUCCAUUUUGUCGAAAUGUCGGCCAUUGUUAGCUGUACGUCUCAUCUCGUGCAGAAACACUUCACAGAGCUAGUAAAGUCGGAAAUGGAGAUCCCUUUGCUCAACUGUUGCAGAAAUUUAGAACACGACAAAGUCUGAGCUUCAUGGCUGUAGUAUCAUUAAUGUGGUUUUGUUGCAGCCAGUUGGUGAAAGGUGUGAUCGAGUCAUGGUUGAGUUGCAGUUCAUGCAGUUUAUCGAGUUGGUGCUAUCCAGGGUGUAACUGCAGGAAAACUUCUUGAAUUGUCAUCCAGUGAAAGGUGUGAUUAAAUUGAGCUGUUGCAUGCAGUCUUUGGUGGUGAUGUUGUCCUGGAGUUUGGGAGAGUCCCAUGCUUUAAGUCUUCUGGGAUCAGUAUCUGAGUUGACGCUGGAUCAUGCUGCAUUGUGGUUGCCGAAAUGUUGGACAUCUAGUAGAACUGAAAAAAACUCCUUGAAAUGGUUUGUGUUUACGUAGCAGUGAUGUUGCUGUCCAAUAUGGCAUGUUGUUGCAGCCUAUAC